rnacentral:rRNA from 1 species
CCUACGGGAGGCUGUAGUGGGGAAUAUUGGACAAUGGGCGAAAGCCUGAUCCAGCCAUGCCGCGUGUGUGAAGAAGGCCUUCGGGUUGUAAAGCACUUUCAGUGGGGAAGAAAGCCUUGGGGCUAAUACCCUCGAGGAAGGACAUCACCCACAGAAGAAGCACCGGCUAACUCCGUGCCAGCAGCCGCGGUAAUACGGAGGGUGCGAGCGUUAAUCGGAAUUACUGGGCGUAAAGCGCGCGUAGGCGGUCUGAUAAGCCGGUUGUGAAAGCCCCGGGCUCAACCUGGGAACGGCAUCCGGAACUGUCAGGCUAGAGUGCAGGAGAGGAAGGUAGAAUUCCCGGUGUAGCGGUGAAAUGCGUAGAGAUCGGGAGGAAUACCAGUGGCGAAGGCGGCCUUCUGGACUGACACUGACGCUGAGGUGCGAAAGCGUGGGUAGCAAACAGGAUUAGAUACCCGGGUAGUC